rnacentral:rRNA from 1 species
UACGUAGGGGGCAAGCGUUGUCCGGAUUUAUUGGGCGUAAAGAGCGUGUAGGCGGCUUGGUAGGUCUCGCGUCAAAACCUGAGGCUCAACCUCAGUUCGCGUGGGAAACCACCUAGCUAGAGUCCGGAAGAGGAGAACGGAAUUCCCAGUGUAGCGGUGAAAUGCGCAGAUAUCAGGAGGAACACCGGUGGCGAAGGCGGUGGUCUGGGCCGGCACUGACGCUGAGGAGCGAAAGCGUGGGGAGCGAACAGG